UCCGUUUCAAUUUACAUGUCCACUUUCAAGAAAUUUUUUUGUUUCAAAUUACUUGUCCACUUCAACUUUCAAUGCAAAAUUAUAUUUCCAAAAUCAAUUCUACUCCACAUAUCUCUUAUUUAUAUUUCCUAGAUCAAUCUCACUCCACAUAUUUUGAUCAUUUAAUGCAAUAAAUGUGUGAACAUCCACUUUUCUUAAACUGUGUGAAUUUUUUAAAGUGGACAUCUAAUUUGAAACGGAGGGAGUA
rnacentral:lncRNA from 1 species